GCACUAUAAGACAUAGCGUGGAUGCAGUUUGCUUUCAUCAGAUCUUUAGCCUUGACGUCUCCAGGUACUAAUACUGUACCGAGACAAUGAAGUUCAUGGAUCUGGUGGUCGCAUUAUUUUUGAUGUGCUGUGGAUCGUAUAGUUUUCUUCAGCUAUCACAAAAACGUAAUGCGCUACAAAUGCUGACACGAGAUAUAAGGGAGCUGUUGAAGUCUUCUGGCAGCCGUAAAUGCUUUCCUAUUCUCCUUAUCGAUGGUGCAGAUAAG